AACGGACGCUGGCGGCAUGCCUAACACAUGCAAGUCGAACGAGAUCUUCGGGUCUAGUGGCGCACGGGUGCGUAACGCGUGGGAAUCUGCCCUUUGGUUCGGAAUAACAGUUGGAAACGACUGCUAAUACCGGAUGAUGACGAAAGUCCAAAGAUUUAUCGCCAGAGGAUGAGCCCGCGUAGGAUUAGCUAGUUGGUGUGGUAAAGGCGCACCAAGGCGACGAUCCUUAGCUGGUCUGAGAGGAUGAUCAGCUACACUGGGACUGAGACACGGCCCAGACUCCUACGGGAGGCAGCAGUGGGGAAUAUUGGACAAUGGGCGAAAGCCUGAUCCAGCAAUGCCGCGUGAGUGAUGAAGGCCUUAGGGUUGUAAAGCUCUUUUACCCGGGAUGAUAAUGACAGUACCGGGAGAAUAAGCUCCGGCUAACUCCGUGCCAGCCGCCGCGGUAA
rnacentral:rRNA from 1 species